CCUACGGGAGGCAGCAGUGAGGAAUAUUGGUCAAUGGACGAGAGUCUGAACCAGCCAAGUAGCGUGAAGGAUGACUGCCCUAUGGGUUGUAAACUUCUUUUAUAUGGGAAUAAAAUGUUCCACGUGUGGUAUUUUGUAUGUACCAUGUGAAAAAGCAUCGGAUAACUCCGUGCCAGCAGCCGCGGUAAUACGGGGGAUGAGAGCGUUAUCCGGAUUUUUUGGGUUUAAAGGGUGCGCAGGCGGAGGUGCAAGUCAGCGGUAAAAUUGCGGGGCUCAACCCCGUACUGCCGUUGAAACUGCAUCCCUUGAGUGCGCGAGAAGUAUGCGGAAUGCGUGGUGUAGCGGUGAAAUGCAUAGAUAUCACGCAGAACGCCGAUUGCGAAGGCAGCAUACCGGCGCGCAACUGACGCUCAUGCACGAAAGCGUGGGUAUCGAACAGGAUUAGAUACCCUUGUAGUC
rnacentral:rRNA from 1 species